rnacentral:rRNA from 1 species
AGAAUCAACGCUGGCGGCGUGCCUAACACAUGCAAGUCGCACGAGAAAGGGGAGCAAUCCCUGAGUAAAGUGGCGCACGGGUGAGUAACACGUGAAUAAUCUACCUCCGAGUGGGGAAUAACUGAGAGAAAUCUUAGCUAAUACCGCAUAACACUUACGAGUCAAAGCAGCAAUGCGCUUGGAGAGGAGUUCGCGGCCGAUUAGUUAGUUGGCGGGGUAAUGGCCCACCAAGACGAUGAUCGGUAUCCGGCCUGAGAGGGCGCACGGACACACUGGAACUGAAACACGGUCCAGACUCCUACGGGAGGCAGCAGUGGGGAAUUUUGCGCAAUGGGGGAAACCCUGACGCAGCAACGCCGCGUGGAGGAUGAAGCCCCUUGGGGUGUAAACUCCUUUCGAUCGGGAAGAUAAUGACGGUACCGAUAUAAGAACGCCCGGCUAACUUCGUGCCAGCAGCCGC